CCUACGGGAGGCAGCAGUGGGGGAUAUUGCACAAUGGGGGGAACCCUGAUGCAGCGACGCCGCGUGGGUGAAGAAGGGCCUCGGCGCGGAAAGCCCUGUCAGCAGGGAAGAAAAUGACGGUACCUGAAGAAGAAGGCCCGGCUAACUCCGUGCCAGCAGCCGCGGUAAUACGGAGGGGGCAAGCGUUAUCCGGAUUUACUGGGUGUAAAGGGGGCGAAGACGGCGCGGCAAGCCAGGUGUGACAGCCCGGGGCCCCACCCCGGGACUGCUCGUGGAACUGCGUGGCUGGAGUGCAGGUGGGGCAGGCGGCAUUCCUGGUGUAGCGGUGAAAUGCGUAGAUAUCAGGCGGAACCCCGGUGGCGAAGGCGGCCUGCUGGACUGCAUCUGACGUUGAGGCCCGAAAGCGUGGGGAGCAAACAGGAUUAGAUACCCUUGUAGUC
rnacentral:rRNA from 1 species